UACGUAGGGUGCAAGCGUUGUCCGGAAUUAUUGGGCGUAAAGAGCUUGUAGGCGGUUUGUCGCGUCUGCUGUGAAAUUUCGGGGCUCAACCCCGAACUUGCAGUGGGUACGGGCAGACUAGAGUGUGGUAGGGGAGAUCGGAAUUCCUGGUGUAGCGGUGAAAUGCGCAGAUAUCAGGAGGAACACCGGUGGCGAAGGCGGAUCUCUGGGCCAUUACUGACGCUGAGGAGCGAAAGCGUGGGGAGCGAACAGG
rnacentral:rRNA from 1 species